AACGAACGCUGGCGGCAGGCCUAACACAUGCAAGUCGAACGGGACCUUCGGGUCUAGUGGCGGACGGGUGAGUAACGCGUGGGAACGUGCCCUUUGGUUCGGAAUAGCCCCGGGAAACUGGGAGUAAUACCGGAUAAGCCCUACGGGGGAAAGAUUUAUCGCCAAAGGAUCGGCCCGCGUUGGAUUAGUGAGUUGGUGAGGUAAUGGCUCACCAAGCCGACGAUCCAUAGCUGGUUUGAGAGGAUGAUCAGCCACACUGGGACUGGGACACGGGCCGGACUCCUACGGGAGGCAGCAGUGGGGAAUUUUGGACAAUGGGGGGAACCCUGAUCUAGCCAUGCCGCGUGAUCGAUGAAGGCCUUAGGGUUGUAAAGAUCUUUCAGUGGGGAAGAUAAUUACUGUACCCACAGAAGAAGCCCCGGCUAACUCCGUGCCAGCAGCCGCGGUAA
rnacentral:rRNA from 1 species